UACGAAGGGGGCUAGCGUUGCUCGGAAUUACUGGGCGUAAAGGGCGCGUAGGUGGUUCUGUAUGUCUAUCGUGAAAGCGUACGGCUCAACCGUAUUUUGUCGGUAGAAACUGCAGGACUUGAGGCUGGGAGGGGCUGGUGGAAUUCCCUGUGUAGCGGUGAAAUGCGUAGAGAUGGGGGAGAACACUCGUGGCGAAGGCGGCCAGCUAGACCAGUUCUGACACUGAGGCGCGACAGCGUGGGGAGCAAACAGG
rnacentral:rRNA from 1 species